GCUUGUCUCAAAGAUUAAGCCAUGCAUGUCUCAGUAUAAGCUUGUGCAUAGUGAAACUGCGAACGGCUCAUUAUAACAGUUAUAAUUUGUUUGGUGUUCAAGUUUACAUGGGUAACUGUGGCAAUUCUAGAGCUAAUACAUGCUGUUUUGCCUGACUCUGUGGUAAGGCUGUGCUUAUUAGUACCAGAACCAACCCAAGUUCUGCUUGGUUGCAUCCUGAUUCAUAAUAAACGAAUGGAUUGCAUGCUUUGGCUGGCAAUGUAGCAUCUAAGUUUCUGCCCUAUCAGCUUUGGAUGGUAGGGUAUUGGCCUACCAUGGCUUUAACGGGUAACGGAGAAUUAGGGUUCGAUUCCGGAGAGGGAGCCUGAGAAAUGGCUACCACAUCCAAGGAAGGCAGCAGG
rnacentral:rRNA from 1 species